GACGAACGCUGGCGGCGUGCUUAACACAUGCAAGUCGAGCGGUAAGGCCCUUUCGGGGGUACACGAGCGGCGAACGGGUGAGUAACACGUGGGUGACCUGCCCUCAGCUCUGGGAUAAGCCUGGGAAACUGGGUCUAAUACUGGAUAUGACUCCACGGUGCAUGUCGUGGGGUGGAAAGCCUUGUGCGGCUGAGGAUGGGCCCGCGGCCUAUCAGCUUGUGGUGGGGGAUGGCCUACCAAGGCGACGACGGGUAGCCGGCCUGAGAGGGCGACCGGCCACACUGGGACUGGAGACACGGCCCAGGACUCCUACGGGAGGCAGCAGUGGGGAAUCUUGCGCAAUGGGCGAAAGCCUGACGCAGCGACGCCGCGUGAGGGAU
rnacentral:rRNA from 1 species